CAAGAAGUAUGCUGAAUUGCUGGAUGAACAUCGUACUGAGCAAAAGAAGUUAAAGCUCCUCCAAAAGAAACAGGUACAAAUUCAAAAAGAAAAGGACCAGUUACAAGGUGAACACAGCAGAGCUAUCCUCGCUCGAAGCAAAUUGGAGAGUCUGUGCCGGGAGCUGCAGAGACACAACAAGACUCUGAAGGAAGAGGCGCUUCAGCGGGCACGUGAGGAAGAAGAGAAAAGGAAGGAAAUCACAAGCCAUUUCCAGAGUACCCUCACGGACAUCCAGGGCCAGAUCGAGCAGCAGAGUGAGCGAAAUAUGAAGCUCUGUCAGGAGAACACAGAGCUUGCAGAAAAGCUGAAAAGCAUCAUCGAUCAGUAUGAGCUCAGAGAGGAGCAUCUGGACAAAAUAUUUAAACACAGAGAACUGCAGCAGAAGCUGGUGGAUGCAAAGCUUGAGCAGGCCCAAGAAAUGAUGAAGGAAGCGGAGGAGCGACACAAACGAGAAAAGGAAUAUUUGCUGAACCAGGCAGCAGAGUGGAAACUUCAGGCGAAAGUGCUGAAGGAGCAAGAGACAGUCCUGCAGGCUCAGCUCACUCUCUACUCAGGAAGGUUUGAAGAAUUCCAGAGCACACUAACUAAAAGCAACGAGGUGUUUGCCACGUUCAAACAGGAAAUGGACAAAACAACUAAGAAAAUGAAGAAGCUGGAAAAGGACACAGCCACAUGGAAAGCCCGAUUUGAGAACUGUAACAAAGCUCUGUUGGACAUGAUUGAAGAGCCCUCCUGACUGCUCCAAGAAUUUCAUCGAACAAGACUCAAAGAGGCCCAGCUGCUCUGCGUUUUGAUUCUUCUCCCUCUCUCAGUCCACACUGACCUGGGAGGGGCUUCUCAAACACCACAUUUCCUAGCGUGCUGUGAGAAGAGGACUGUGAGCUAAGAAGGGAGAAAAG
rnacentral:lncRNA from 1 species